GUAGGGUGCAAACGUUGUUCGGAAUCACUGGGCAUAAAGAGCGCGUAGGCGGUCUGAUCAGUCCCGUGUGAAAGCCCUCGGGCUCAACCGAGGAACUGCACUGGAAACUGUCAAGCUAGAGUACAGGAGGGGAGAGCGGAAUUCCUGGUGGAGCGGUGAAAUGCGUAGAUAUCAGGAGGAACGCCGGUGGCGAAAGCGGCUCUCUGGUCUGUUACUGACGCUGAGGCGCGAAAGCUAGGGGAGCAAACGGGAUUAGAUACCCCGGUAGUCCUAGCCCUAAACGAUGGGUACUAAGUAGAGGGGAUUCCGAUGUUCUCUCUGCCGGAGCUAAUGUAUUAAGUACCCCGCCUGGGGAGUAUGGUCGCAAGGCUA
rnacentral:rRNA from 1 species